rnacentral:rRNA from 1 species
AUUGAACGCUGGCGGCAGGCUUAACACAUACAAGUCGAGCGGGGGAAGGUAGCUUGCUACCGGACCUAGCGGCGGACGGGUGAGUAAUGCUUAGGAAUCUGCCUAUUAGUGGGGGACAACAUCUCGAAAGGGAUGCUAAUACCGCAUACGUCCUACGGGAGAAAGCAGGGGAUCUUCGGACCUUGCGCUAAUAGAUGAGCCUAAGUCGGAUUAGCUAGUUGGUGGGGUAAAGGCCUACCAAGGCGACGAUCUGUAGCGGGUCUGAGAGGAUGAUCCGCCACACUGGGACUGGAACACGGCCCAGACUCCUACGGGAGGCAGCAGUGGGGAAUAUUGGACAAUGGGGGGAACCCUGAUCCAGCCAUGCCGCGUGUGUGAAGAAGGCCUUAUGGUUGUAAAGCACUUUAAGCGAGGAGGAGGCUACUUUAGUUAAUACCUAGAGAUAGUGGACGUUACUCGCAGAAUAAGCACCGGCUAACUCUGUGCCAGCCGCCGCGGUAA